rnacentral:rRNA from 1 species
UGGGGAAUUUUGGACAAUGGGCGAAAGCCUGAUCCAGCAAUGCCGCGUGUGUGAAGAAGGCCUUCGGGUUGUAAAGCACUUUUGUCCGGAAAGAAAUCCUUGGCUCUAAUACAGUCGGGGGAUGACGGUACCGGAAGAAUAAGCACCGGCUAACUACGUGCCAGCAGCCGCGGUAAUACGUAGGGUGCAAGCGUUAAUCGGAAUUACUGGGCGUAAAGCGCGCGCAGGCGGUUUGCUAAGACCGAUGUGAAAUCCCCGGGCUCAACCUGGGAACUGCAUUGGUGACUGGCAGGCUAGAGUAUGGCAGAGGGGGGUAGAAUUCCACGUGUAGCAGUGAAAUGCGUAGAGAUGUGGAGGAAUACCGAUGGCGAAGGCAGCCCCCU